UCCCAAGGGUUGGGCUGUUCGCCCAUUAAAGCGGUACGCGAGCUGGGUUCAGAACGUCGUGAGACAGUUCGGUCCCUAUCCGUCGUGGGCGUAGGAAAUUUGAGAGGAGCUGUCCUUAGUACGAGAGGACCGGGAUGGACAUACCUCUGGUGUACCAGUUGUCGUGCCAACGGCAUAGCUGGGUAGCUAUGUGUGGACGGGAUAAGUGCUGAAAGCAUCUAAGCAUGAAGCCCCCCUCAAGAUGAGAUUUCCCAACUUCGGUUAUAAGAUCCCUCAAAGAUGAUGAGGUUAAUAGGUUCGAGGUGGAAGCAUGGUGACAUGUGGAGCUGACGAAUACUAA
rnacentral:rRNA from 1 species